GACGUAGGGCGCGAGCGUUGUCCGGAUUUAUUGGGCGUAAAGGGCGCGUAGGCGGUCAGCACAAGUCAGUUGUGAAAUCUCCGGGCUUAACUCGGAAAGGUCAACUGAUACUGUGCGACUAGAGUGCGGAAGGGGCAACUGGAAUUCUCGGUGUAGCGGUGAAAUGCGUAGAUAUCGAGAGGAACACCUGCGGCGAAGGCGGGUUGCUGGGCCGACACUGACGCUAAUGCGCGAAAGCCAGGGGAGCGAACGGG
rnacentral:rRNA from 1 species